UACAGAGGGCAAAAGCGUUAAUCGGAAUCACUGGGCUUAAAGGGUGCGUAGGCGGUCCCGCAAGUGCUUUGUGAAAUCCCAUCGCUCAACGAUGGAAUGGCUCGGCAUAAUGCGGGACUUGAGGUCGGUAGAGGUCGUCGGAACAGUAGGUGGAGCGGUGAAAUGCGUAGAUAUCUACUGGAACGCCAAAGGUGAAGACAGGCGACUGGGCCGAUUCUGACGCUGAGGCACGAAAGCGUGGGGAGCGAUCGGG
rnacentral:rRNA from 1 species